rnacentral:RNase_P_RNA from 1 species
AGUAAGCCGAACAGUCGCGCUUGAUUAUCAAGUGAGGAAAGUCCGGGCUUCGUAGGGCAGGGUGCCGGUUAACGGCCGGCGGAGGCGACUCCAGGGAUAGUGCAACAGAAAUAAACCGCCUGUAUUUAUACAGGUAAGGGUGGAAAGGUAAGGUAAGAGCUUACCGCUGUUUCGGUAACGAAACAGGCUCUGUAAACCCCACCUGAAGCAAGGCCCGAUAAAAACCAUGGGAUUGCCCGUCCCGUUUUGACGCGGCCGCAUGAUGACAUUGGCGACAAUGUACCAAGAUAGAUGACUGUUUAAGACAGAACCCGGCUCAUAGACUUGCUCA